UACGGAGGAGGCAAGCGUUAUCCGGAAUUAUUGGGCGUAAAGCGUCCGCAGGUGGCACUUCAAGUCUGUCGUCAAAGACCGGGGCUUAACUUCGGAAAGGCAGUGGAAACUGAACAGCUAGAGUAUGGUAGGGGCAGAGGGAAUUCCUGGUGUAGCGGUGAAAUGCGCAGAUAUCAGGAAGAACACCAAUGGCGAAGGCAGCUCUCUGGGACGGUACUGACGCUGAGACGCGAAAGCGUGGGGAGCGAACAGG
rnacentral:rRNA from 1 species